GAUGAACGCUGGCGGCGUGCCUAAUACAUGCAAGUCGAGCGAACAGACGAGGAGCUUGCUCCUCUGACGUUAGCGGCGGACGGGUGAGUAACACGUGGAUAACCUACCUAUAAGACUGGGAUAACUUCGGGAAACCGGAGCUAAUACCGGAUAAUAUAUUGAACCGCAUGGUUCACUCGUGAAAGACGGUUGUGCUGUCCCUAAUAGAUGGCUCCGCGCCGCAUUAGCUAGUUGGUAAGGUGACGGCUUACCAAGGCAGCGAUGCUUAGCCGACCUGAGAGGGGGAGCGGCCACACUGGAUGUGAGACUCGGUCCAGACUCCUACGGGGGGCAGCAGUAGGGAAUCUUCCGCAAUGGGCGAAAGCCUGACGGUGCAACGCCGCGUGAGUGAUGAAGGUCUUCGGAUCGUAAAACGCUGUUAUUAGUGAAGAACAAAUGUGUAAGUAACUAGGCACGUCUUGACGGUACCUGAUCAGAAAGCCACGGCUAACUACGUG
rnacentral:rRNA from 1 species